rnacentral:misc_RNA from 1 species
GAUGAAGAACGCAGCGAAAUGCGAUAAGUAAUGUGAAUUGCAGAAUUCCGUGAAUCAUCGAAUCUUUGAACGCACAUUGCGCCCGCCAGUAUUCUGGCGGGCAUGCCUGUUCGAGCGUCAUUUCAACCAUCAAGCCCCCCGGCUUGUGUUGGGGACCUGCGGCUGCCGCAGGCCCUGAAAAGCAGUGGCGGGCUCGCUGUCACACCGAGCGUAGUAGAUCUCAUCUCGCUCAGGGCGUGCUGCGGGUUCCGGCCGUUAAACCACCUUCAUAACCCAAGGUUGACCUCGGAUCAGGUAGGAAGACCCGCUGAACUUAAGCAUAUCAAUAAGCGGAGGA